CUGAUUCAAUAUAGUUUUUAUAACAGUUUAAUUAAGUUUAGUACUUAUGGAAAAUUAUGUACGCUUGAAAAUAGAACAUGUUCCACAUUUGAACACCAUCACUUUGAACACCUAUGUCAACUGUUCUGAAUGUUAACGUCUGGUGUUCUGAAUCUUAACAUUUUGGUUUUUGAACAUGUUCUGUGUGUUCAAAAAGUGUUACAUGGCUGUUGAACGCGUCGACGUAUUAAGAUUUUGAACAUUCGGACACGUUAAAUCGUUGAACACUAAUGUUAAGGUCUCUAACAUCAAGUGUUCAAAAAUGAAACACAAAGGCAUUAAAAACUGAACACCACACAUUCAAUUGAUGAACACUAGUGUAAACAUUUGGAACACCAUUACACGUUCAAAAAGUGUUACAAAAAAGCG
rnacentral:lncRNA from 1 species